CCCCAGACUCCUACGGGAGGCAGCAGUGGGGAAUAUUGCACAAUGGGGGAAACCCUGAUGCAGCAACGCCGCGUGGGUGAAGGAGCGUUUCGGCGCGUAAAGCCCUGUCAGCGGGGAAGAAGAAAGACGGUACCUGACUAAGAAGCCCCGGCUAACUACGUGCCAGCAGCCGCGGUAAUACGUAGGGGGCGAGCGUUAUCCGGAUUCACUGGGUGUAAAGGGAGCGUAGACGGCCAAGCAAGCCAGGGGUGAAAGCCCGGGGCCCAACCCCGGGACUGCCCUUGGAACUGCAUGGCUGGAGUGCGGGAGGGGCAGGCGGAAUUCCUGGUGUAGCGGUGAAAUGCGUAGAUAUCAGGAGGAACACCGGCGGCGAAGGCGGCCUGCUGGACCGCGACUGACGUUGAGGCUCGAAAGCGUGGGGAGCAAACAGGAUUAGAUACCCUAGUA
rnacentral:rRNA from 1 species